AGUCAUCAACCCCUGCCGUUUUGUGCGGUAGCGGGUUGGAUCUGGGGGCCCUGCUGCCGAGAGGCGGCUCCCCUCAAAUGGAUCGGUUGGGCCUGUGGGUCGGACUCGAUUGGGCGUUGUAUUAUCCUCGCUCUAACGAGAUGUUCCCCUUCUUGUGCCCCUCCACGACCUUGCCUUUUGAGUGGCGGUCAAACCAAACUUUGAAA
rnacentral:misc_RNA from 1 species